CGGGAGACUGGGCCGGACAGGCCUCUCGCCAACCCGGUCAGGUCCGGAAGGAAGCAGCCGUAACGAGUUUUGGUCUGGGUCGGUUCCAGCCUCCCACCU
rnacentral:SRP_RNA from 1 species